UGGAAGCAUCUAGGCCCCAGCAGACACCACGCCUGGGUGCCCCCCAGGCUGUCCUCGGCACACGCCUAUCUCUGGGACCUUGGAGUGGCGUUACUGAAUUGUGGCUCAGGUCUUUCUGUCGGGUCACGUGGGGUGAACACAAACGACCUCGUCCCACAAACGCUGCCGGACGCUGUCCCUAGACUUCUGGGUCCCCACAGAUCUUGCGACAAGAACCGGCUUAAAUAUCCUGCUUGCCCUCCCAAACCUCUGCAGGAAGUCCUGCCUGCCUCCGUGGAAAGCUGGCUCAGCUCUGCCCCUGCAGCCUGGCCCUGGCCGUGGCUUUGGCUGGGCUCCUCUCUUUCGGGAGCUGCCUGGCAGACUGUAUCCUCCAGGAUCACCCUGGUUACCUUGACAACUGGGUCUGGCCUUCCUCCUCCCUCCCCAGCCACUGCUGAACUUGGCCUCCAUGCACUUGCCCAGGCAGUGUGCCUGUCCUUCCACUUGCCUGCCCUCCCCAGCAUUGCCAAGUUUAGUUCACCUAGUUCAUGUGCUGCCAUCUCCCAGCCUUCCUGGAGCCCCGUAUGGGCUCUACUUCCCAACUCCCUUGGACUGAGAGACUGUGAGCUCCUCGAGGGCAGGAACACAAUUGCUUCUCAAUAAAUAUGUGUUGCAGAAAAGGAAUGGAUGAGCUGCUGUGAUUUUGUCAGGGUUUGGUUGACUCACCAGAUGUCCCUCUGGUCGGGUGACCCAGAGCACAGGCGCGGCUCCCACC
rnacentral:lncRNA from 1 species